rnacentral:sRNA from 1 species
GCGGUGACCGCUCGAGCGGCCGGCAAAGAAUUUCCGAC